AUUCAUUCAACAUGGAAGGAAAGAUUUUCCUUUUUCAUCUCCAUGCAUAUCCCAUGUCCUAAAAAAGGCUGCUAUAUCUCUGACUACCACCACCUAUCUUCUCCCUCCAACCCAAAAGGUCAAAAAAAGCCCACUUCCCCUUCUCUCUCCAUCUCUAUCUCUUUCAUGGUCAUAACCCAUAACCUCACUUCUGAAACACUCAUCUUCUGCUAGCAAGCAAACCCAUCUUCUCUCUGCCAAACCCAUCAAGAAAAAAGAGAAAAGAAUUGUUUAAUGUCCAUUUCUAAUACUUUGUUUAUGUGGGUUUUCAUGGUUUCAGUAAGUAGGUAGAGAGAUAAGGAGGAUUCUUGAUUUGGGUUGUUCUAAAGAGGAUGAUAGAUCUGAAAGAAAUGGGAAGCAAAUGGAGGAAAGCAAAAUUGGCACUUGGUCUCAACAUGUGUCUUUAUGUUCCUCAAACUCAUGAGCAAGAUUCAUCUCCUUCUCCUUCCAGAUUCUCCGACACCGUUUCCCUCUCUCCUACUUCUGCUCUUCGCCGUGGCUCCACUACUCCCACCCCUUCAUCUUCUGGGCUCCGCUUGCCCAAAUCCAGUACCAAAUCCUCUAAGGUAUGUCCGUAUGUAUAUACUUAUGCUAUUUUUACAGGGUAUACAUAUUUCUUGUAUUUGCUUUGAGUUUGUUGUUAAGAAAAUUCUUGCGAUCUAUUUCGGACGCGG
rnacentral:misc_RNA from 1 species